rnacentral:rRNA from 1 species
UACGUAGGGGGCAAGCGUUGUCCGGAUUUAUUGGGCGUAAAGAGCGUGUAGGCGGCCACACAGGUCUGCUGUGAAAACUCGAGGCUCAACCUCGAGCUGUCGGUGGAAACCGUGUGGCUAGAGUCCGGAAGAGGAGAGUGGAAUUCCCGGUGUAGCGGUGAAAUGCGCAGACAUCGGGAAGAACACCCGUGGCGAAGGCGGCUCUCUGGGACGGUACUGACGCUGAGACGCGAAAGCGUGGGGAGCGAACAGG